rnacentral:rRNA from 1 species
GAUGAACGCUGGCGGCGUGCCUAAUACAUGCAAGUCGAGCGAACGGACGAGAAGCUUGCUUUUCUGAUGUUAGCGGCGGACGGGUGAGUAACACGUGGAUAACCUACCUAUAAGACUGGGAUAACUUCGGGAAACCGGAGCUAAUACCGGAUAAUAUUUUGAACCGCAUGGUUCAAAAGUGAAAGACGGUCUUGCUGUCACUUAUAGAUGGAUCCGCGCUGCAUUAGCUAGUUGGUAAGGUAACGGCUUACCAAGGCAACGAUGCAUAGCCGACCUGAGAGGGUGAUCGGCCACACUGGAACUGAGACACGGUCCAGACUCCUACGGGAGGCAGCAGUAGGGAAUCCUCCGCAAUGGGCGAAAGCCUGACGGAGCAACGCCGCGUGAGUGAUGAAGGUCUUCGGAUCGUAAAACUCUGUUAUUAGGGAAGAACAUAUGUGUAAGUAACUGUGCACAUCUUGACGGUACCUAAUCAGAAAGCCACGGCUAACUACGUGCCAGCAGCCGCGGUAAUACGUAGGUGGCAAGCGUUAUCCGGAAUUAUUGGGGGUAAAGCGCGCGUAGGCGGUUUUUUAAGUCUGAUGUGAAAGCCCACGGCUCAACCGUGGAGGGUCAUUGGAAACUGGAAAACUUGAGUGCAGAAGAGGAAAGUGGAAUUCCAUGUGUAGCGGUGAAAUGCGCAGAGAUGUGGAGGAACACCAGUGGCGAAGGCGACUUUCUGGUCUGUAACUGACGCUGAUGUGCGAAAGCGUGGGGAUCAAACAGGAUUAGAUACCCUGGUAGUCCACGCCGUAAACGAUGAGUGCUAAGUGCUAGGGGGUUUCCGCCCCUUAGUGCUGCAGCUAACGCAUUAAGCACUCCGCCUGGGGAGUACGACCGCAAGGUUGAAACUCAAAGGAAUUGACGGGGGCCCGCACAAGCGGUGGAGCAUGUGGUUUAAUUCGAAGCAACGCGAAGAACCUUACCAAAUCUUGACAUCCUUUGACAACUCUAGAGAUAGAGCCUUCCCCUUCGGGGGACAAAGUGACAGGUGGUGCAUGGUUGUCGUCAGCUCGUGUCGUGAGAUGUUGGGUUAAGUCCCGCAACGAGCGCAACCCUUAAGCUUAGUCGCCAUCAUUAAGUUGGGCACUCUAAGUUGACUGCCGGUGACAAACCGGAGGAAGGUGGGGAUGACGUCAAAUCAUCAUGCCCCUUAUGAUUUGGGCUACACACGUGCUACAAUGGACAAUACAAAGGGCAGCGAAACCGCGAGGUCAAGCAAAUCCCAUAAAGUUGUUCUCAGUUCGGAUUGUAGUCUGCAACUCGACUACAUGAAGCUGGAAUCGCUAGUAAUCGUAGAUCAGCAUGCUACGGUGAAUACGUUCCCGGGUCU